UUCCACGUGGAAAGGUCGAAAAGUUUUUACUAUAUCGCGAUGGAGCUAGCUUCCGGUACGGUGGAAGACUACGUGAACGGAAAGCUCACUAAAAAGCUUGAUGAAAAGGCCAUUCUUCGAGACUCAUCCAUCGGGCUUCGCUGGCUCCACGCCCAUGGUAUCAUUCAUAGGGACAUCAAGCCAUCGAACAUUUUGCUGGUUGAGCACGAGAGAGAUAGAAUCAGGGGUAAACUCGCCGACUUUGGGAUAUCCAAGGACCUGACAACGAGUGGAUGGACAACGGGUGCCGUCGUUGGAACUUCGGGCUGGAUGGCUCCGGAGACAUUGACGCAGGCAUCGAGCAAUGAAACAAUCGCUGGAGCAGCGGAUGUGUGUUCCCUCGGCUUGGUCUUCUGCUACGUUCUAUCCAAGGGAGGUCAUCCGUCUUUCAAGAUUGCAGCGAAUGGGACGGACUUGGAAAUCGAAAACGACGCAUG